rnacentral:sRNA from 1 species
GCCGGGCGUGGUGGUGCACACCUGUAAUCCUUGUGGCUCGGGAGGCUGAGGCAGGAGGAUCAUAAGUUCAAGGUCAGCCUCAGAAACUUAGUGAGGCCCUAAACAACUCAGUGAGACCCUGUCUCAA